rnacentral:rRNA from 1 species
UACGUAGGGUGCAAGCGUUAAUCGGAAUUACUGGGCGUAAAGCGUGCGCAGGCGGUUUUGUAAGCCAGAUGUGAAAUCCCCGGGCUCAACCUGGGAAUGGCAUUUGGGACUGCAAGGCUCGAGUGCGGCAGAGGAGACUGGAAUUCCUGGUGUAGCAGUGAAAUGCGUAGAUAUCAGGAGGAAUACCGAUGGCGAAGGCAGGUCUCUGGGCUGACACUGACGCUCAUGCACGAAAGCGUGGGGAGCAAACAGG